UCAGCUGUUUCCAGCAAGUAGUUGGCAUGGAGAGAGCAGUUUGUCCCUGGAGCCUGGCCUGGCUUUGUGCUGGCCUUCACUCGGUGUGAAGCAGCUGUGAACUGUUACAGAUGCUUCUUUGCCACGUGUCAUUUGUAGUCAAGAGAAUGCGCUACCGAAGAAGACCUUUCUGGACUACUCACAGGAAACUGAGGUUGUGUGUGCUGCCCGAAGAGAACAUGUUGUCCUGGAGGGACCCUGAGAUCCUUUGUUGCCUGCUGCUCACUGUGCUGAGCCCCAGGAUGGAGCAGCCUUGGUGGACUCCUGGUCCCAUUCACCCAGCCGUGGGAGUGCUGAAGGCUAAGUAAGUUCUCAUCAACCGGUAAUACUGAGAAAACCUGGCACCGUGACCCUUUGACCCCCAGAAUUCACAUCUGCACUGUGAUGCAGGCACCCCUUGGCCAGGGGCUCUGUGAUAGCAAUCCACUGCAAGCCCAUCUGCAGGAAGAGCUCAGGAUGCCCUCUUCUAACUGAGUCAGGUGAGUGAUUCCACUUGGACUGGAUGACCUUGAGGUCUUUUCCAACCUCGGUGAUUCUAUGAUUCCUCUCAACCUCCCAGAUCCUAUAGCCUGAGCUUCAGGUCUGAAUCUGGAACCCUCCAAGCCCCAGGAAGUCCUGCAGGCUGUCACAGUGAUGUGAUGGCCCGCUGUUGGACAGCACAUGCUUGGGUUAAAAUAUAGCAGCUCGGUCAAAGAACCAAUAAACUGAAUUUAAAGCCA